rnacentral:lncRNA from 1 species
CGGUUGGUUUCUGAUAGAUCUGCGUAUAGCUCCGUAGCAGCUCAAUUUGAGAAUUUUUACCACGUCAAUGUCAUGAUAAAUCUAUUACUGUUCUCAUUAGACCAAAUAAUAUAACUAUUACUUCAUACAGUGACAUUUUUUGGGGACAAAUUUCGUACAAAUGAUGAAACAGGCCAUGGUUGAUGUUGCAAAAGAAGUUGGAGCUGAUGCUGUAGCUCAUGGAUGCACCGGGAAAGGAAAUGAUCAGGCAUGCCUUCUAAUUCAAAGCGUUUAAUAUUACAACUCAUGUACUCCUUAUGACACAAUCUCUUGUCUGUUUAGGUUCGCUUUGAGCUGACAUUUUUCGCUCUCAAUCCCAAACUAAAUGUUGUGGCUCCUUGGAGGGAGUGGGAUAUUACAGGCAGAGAAGAUGCUAUUGAAUACGCUAAGAAACAUAAUGUGCCUGUCCCAGUGACAAAGAAAUCCAUAUACAGCAGAGACGGCAAUUUAUGGCACCUUAGUCAUGAGGUAAAUUCUUACAACUCUUUUUUGUCUGGAAAAUUGCCAACUUUUCAUAUGAAAUCUUUCUGAUUGAGCUCUAAAAUUAUCUAUUGCCGUUUGUCUUCAUGAUGAUGGAAUUGAUCAAAGGGUGACAUUUUGGAGGACCCGGAGAAUGAGCCUAAGAAGGAUAUGUUCAUGUUAACAGUCGAUCCAGAAGAUGCACCAAAUGAACCUGAGUAAGUUCCACCUGAUAUGUGUUUUAGCUCCUACUGUGUACGCUGAGUACGUUUCUAACCCAUGCUCUCGUUUCCUAUAGGUAUGUAGAAAUCGGAAUUGUUUCAGGAAUUCCGGUUUCGGUCAAUGGGAAAGAGCUUUCACCGGCCUCUCUACUUGAUCAUCUAAAUCAGAUUGGUGGAAAACACGGAAUUGGCCGUGUGGACAUGGUUGAAAACCGGCUAGUUGGCAUGAAGAGCCGUGGAGUCUAUGAAACUCCUGGAGGCACCAUCCUCUUCACUGCUGCACGAGAGCUUGAGUCUUUAACACUGGACCGAGAAACAAUGCAAGUUAAAGACUCAUUAGCCCUCAAGUACGCGGAGCUGGUGUACGCAGGCAGGUGGUUCGACCCACUUCGCGAGUCAAUGGAUUCGUUCAUGAAGGAAAUCUCUAAAACAACCACCGGAUCAGUAACUCUGAAGCUGUACAAGGGUUCGGUUACUGUGACGAGCCGGAAGAGCCCAUACAGCCUGUACAGGCAGGACAUCGCAUCGUUCGAGAGCGGGGAUAUAUAUGAUCAAGCUGAUGCUGCUGGGUUCAUUAGGCUGUAUGGCCUUCCCAUUAGGGUUCGAGCAAUGCUCGACGCUUGAAUGGCGAAUCUUCAAUGGCUAUGUUAGUUUUUGUUUGUAAUGUUAUGUAGCCAGUUGUUUUAGACAAGAAUUUAAGUGUGGUUCAACUUCUAAUUGUUUCUUUUAAUAAACAGAAAACGAGUAAUUAUAUAAAGGGUUUAAUAUGUGAGUAAUUGUUGAUAGUAAUUUUACUUAUUUAUUAAAUACACAAAUGGAAUUUAUUAUAAAAUUGUAAUAAAAAUAAAACUAGAAGACAUUAAGAUUUUAAAAUGCGCUAGUCGGGCGGAGGGUAUGGGCCUAGUGCCUAGGUAUGUAGACAGGGACCUAGAUCAUUUUUUAAUUAUUUUUAAUUGAAUUUAUUAUGUUCUACUUAUACUAAAAAAUACAUGAAUGCAUUGGAAUACUUAAAUUAUAAAAUAGAAUGACAUAUAAAUUAUAAAGUGCUAGAACAUAUUCAAAACAUGGGAAACAAGCAUGUAAUUACUGUUCAUUCAAGUAUACAACAAGUCUCAUAUAAUUUAUUGAAAAAAUAAAAUUCAAGUUAUCUAUUAUCAAUUUAUGUGAAAAUCAUGACCUCGGCGGGCGCCUUAGCAAGUCUUGGUGCCCUUUCUUAUUUUUUAAACGCCUAAGAAUUGGUCAGCUGCCUAACCCCUAGGUAGCGCUUGGUGGAGACUUUUAGAACACUAGAAGACAUAAAUCAGACAACAAAAAGUAUAUAACUCAUAAUUUUAAUCAAACGUUCAAGUCACUUAAUCAAAUAUUGACUACACACGAAAUAUAUAGGAAUAGAAGCCACUUAUUACGGUAUAGUAGUAUACCUCUUCACUUGUAAGUGAGAGGUCUUAGGUUCGAUUCUCACUAAAAGCAAAUUUAAACCACAUUAUUAUGGCUAACCCAUUAUUCGACUUAUUCAACUCCCUCGCUUCUUUACUAUAGAUAAUAUCGUUUCACGUUUAUUCUCGUUGAAUAUAACCGGUCCAAUAUAUGGCUUGAACUAAAUUCCUAACCUCAAAUUUUCAUUAGGCCACUUAGUACUACAUUUUAGUAGUAUUCAUCUUCAAUUGUAAGUAAAAUAUCUUAGGUUUAAUUUUUGCCAAAGAUGAAUUUAAACCACAUUAUUGCUAGUCUAUUGUGAAGCCAUGUCCACCAUUGGUUUUAUGAUGAAACAUCAAAUUUCUUCAUGGUAUCAAAGCAGGCUUUCCAACCUGUGAAGCCAAAUGGUCACACACGCUCCACGUCACCCUGUACUGUUGUCCACGUGUUCAGCAUGAAGAUUCGCCAUGCAUGAGGGGACAUGUUGAGAAUGAGUCCCACACUGAUGAGAGAAGAGACCUUGUAUGAGUUUAUAAGUAAAUUGAGCUACUUCAUACAUGCUAAUUGAUUUUAUGGUCGAACCUUAACUUUCUUCAAAAUAUAUAAUAUUUUUUUUUUGUCAAAGAAAAAAAAAAUUCACUAGAGAAGAAAAUAAUAAGUCAAUACCCUCACAACGAUCCAGGAAAAUGACGUCAAUAGACACACGUGUAGGAAGAGAAAAAAAAAAAUAGAAACUUUUCUGCUGCAAACGCAGUCUUUUGUGGGGGGUUAUUUUAGUCAGAGUAUAAAAAACAUCGUAUUGGAUCUUUUCCAAUUUUUAAUUUUUUUUUGGUAUAAACCUCUACAAUAAAACCCUAAAACCGAGAGACGCUCACACACACACAGAGCUACUCAAACUACAAAACCACCGUCUGCCGUUCGCCACUCCUCACCAUCGGCCGUUAUCGCCGCCGCUAACCUCCGAUCACGUAAGUUUCCUUUCUUCUUAUUCCUGAGCAAUUCUACUCUUCUUCUCCGUUUAACUUCUAUUUGAUCUCAGCCGCCGCCACCAUGGCCCAAUUGAAGUCCAUGUCCGCCUGCUCCGCCGCCAAUCUCACUUUUCAAGCUCCCAAAAGAGGUACAUUUUCACUUUCCUGUAGCGAGGCUGAUUAAAUUCGAGAACAAAAUUUAAAUUUUUCUGGAUUUAGACAAUUUGAGGAGAAAUGAGCAGUACCCAGAUACUUAAAUGCUUAAAAUUUGAUGGAGAAAUAGUUGGAUUACGAUUUGGUGCUGUAUUGUGAUAUCAAUGUGUAUAAUUUGUUUUUGUUGCAUGAGCAGAAUCAUAUACAUUUCAUGGCAGAGUUUGUUGUCCGGGGAGGUUAUCUUCGUUUCAAGAGGUAGCUAUACCGAUAUCCAUAAUGCAUUGUGUACAUCAAUUUUCCCUUUCCUUAUAAUAUACUGUAGUUACUAAUUUGCAGUUCUCUCGUUUGCUAAUUGGAGUUGUUCUAAAUCUGUUUCUGCAGUUGGGGGCAAGAAAGAGUGAGCUUCAGGGGACUGCAUUUGCAGUUACGAGUGGCAAUGGAAGUGUAAGAGCUCAUAACAAGCAAGGUGCGGUUGCCUAAUCAGAGGUUCUUUCACAUGAACGUUAGAUAGUUAGAGAGAUAAAUGAGCUAUUGAGAUGCCUAUAUAUCAUAUUUAAUUUUUUAAGUUCACUCAUUCAUUCAUUCUGUAAUGUAUUCGGUAUUAGAUGCCAAUCUGAUCUUUACCUUCAUUUGUAUGCAGCUAUUAGAGCAGCGCUACCCACUUACAAUGAGACAGAAGCAUCUGGAUCCACGAAGGAAAGAGGGUUGCGUGGCAAAUUGAAUAAGGUUGUCCUGGCCUAUAGUGGUGGCUUAGACACAUCAGUCAUUGUUCCGUGGUUAAGGUAUGCCCCAUUUUUUUUCUUCCCUGAAAAGGCCUUCAAGUGCAUAUGUCUCAUGAGAGUAUUAAACUCAUCAUGUUUGGUUUCAAAUAUUGAAAGUUAUAGACUUUUGUUGAGGAACAAUAACUUUCAUGCAUUAGAGCCAUGAUUUGCACCCAUAUCCAGAUUUCAAUAGGUUUUGAGAUACUUUGAUUGUUGUAUUGUCAUACUCUGACGGAAUUGUUGAGAUAAUUGCUUUGGACUGCAACUGAUAAGGACCAAACAUAACUACGUCUGAUUAAACAUGACUGGAAUUCCAUUUGGAUAGUUCUAGUUCUCCUGUGUGCUGCAUGCAUACUCAUUUAUGUAUUCCAGGCACCAUUUCCCUAACUCAAUGCUAAUGCAUAUUGAUGCAUUCUACACAGUUGAUAUACGAUCUUUUAAUUCUGAUUGUUAACUUUGUCGUUAUUGUUUGAUACUUUUUUACUUGCAGGGAGAACUAUGGUUGUGAUGUUGUUUGCUUCACGGCUGAUGUUGGUCAAGUAAGUUAGAAGUAGCAACAUCUACUUCAAAGUCAAAAGUUUCUUGUUUCAUGCUAUGUACUUUAAGAUAGUCAUUAUUGGUUUGACUUGCGUGGUUGUUGCCUUAUUCCAAAUCAUUAGGGUAUAAAAGAAUUGGAUGGUCUGGAAAAGAAGGCCAAGGCCAGUGGGGCUUCUCAAUUAGUAGUGCAUGAUCUAAAGGAGGAGUUUGUAAAGGACUACAUAUUCCCUUGCUUGCGGGCAGGUGCAAUAUAUGAGAGGAAAUACUUGCUGGGGACUUCAAUGGCCCGCCCCGUUAUUGCUAAGGUGAUCUCUCAGUUUGAUUUUCGGAAUGCUCUGUUAGUUAUAAAUUCAUUACCUCUGUAGAUUGAUACAUCCACUGUCAAGACAAAUGUAAAGAAAAAGGUACUACCUUUUGAAUUUCUUGUGAAAUGCUUAUGCUCUUCUGAGGUCUAUUCUCUCUGGUUGGUUUCUAAUAGAUCUGUGAAUAGCUCCUUAGCAGCUCAAUUUGAGAAUUUUUACCACGUCAAUGUCAUGAUAAAUCUAUUACUGUUCUCAUUAGACCAAAUAAUAUAACUAUUACUUCAUACAGUGACAUUUUUUGGGGACAAAUUUCGUACAAAUGAUGAAACAGGCCAUGGUUGAUGUUGCGAAAGAAGUUGGAGCGGAUGCUGUAGCUCAUGGAUGCACCGGGAAAGGAAAUGAUCAGGCAUGCCUUCCAAUUCAAAGCGUUUAAUGUUACAAAAACUCAUGUACUCCUGACACAAUCUCUUGUCUGUUUAGGUUCGCUUUGAGCUGACGUUUUUCGCUCUCAAUCCCAAACUAAAUGUUGUGGCUCCUUGGAGGGAGUGGGAUAUUAGAGGCAGAGAAGAUGCUAUUGAAUACGCUAAGAAACAUAAUGUGCCUGUCCCAGUGACAAAGAAGUCCAUAUACAGCAGAGAUGGCAAUUUAUGGCACCUUAGUCAUGAGGUUCUUUACAACUCUCUUUUUUGUCCAGAAAAUUUCCUACUUUUCAUAUGAAAUAUUUCUGAUUGAG